rnacentral:pre_miRNA from 13 species
UUUCGGGGCUGAUGCAAGUGGAGUUUGGUAGAUAGCCCUUUUCAAGCCCUACAAGAAACUAGGGUUUCUGGAGGAGAGGGAAGGUGCUGAUAGAGCUCCUCUCAUGAGCCUGAA